rnacentral:rRNA from 1 species
UACGGAGGAUCCGAGCGUUAUCCGGAUUUAUUGGGUUUAAAGGGUGCGUAGGCUGGUAAUUAAGUCAGUGGUGAAAUACUCCGGCUCAACCGGGGGGCUGCCGUUGAUACUGGUUACCUUGAGUUUAGAUGAUGUGGGCGGAAUGUGUCAUGUAGCGGUGAAAUGCAUAGAGAUGACACAGAACACCGAUAGCGAAGGCAGCUCACAAAGCUAUUACUGACGCUGAUGCACGAAAGCGUGGGGAUCAAACAGGAUUAGA